rnacentral:rRNA from 1 species
ACGAAGGGGGCUAGCGUUGCUCGGAAUCACUGGGCGUAAAGGGUGCGUAGGUGGAUCUUUAAGUCAGGGGUGAAAUCCUGGAGCUCAACUCCAGAACUGCCUUCGAUACUGGAAAGCUCGAGUCCGGGAGAGGUGAGUGGAACUGCGAGUGUAGAGGUGAAAUUCGUAGAUAUUCGCAAGAACACCAGUGGCGAAGGCGGCUCACUGGCCCGGUACUGACGCUGAGGUGCGAAAGCGUGGGGAGCAAACAGGA